AUUGAACGCUGGCGGCAUGCCUUACACAUGCAAGUCGAACGGCAGCGGGGGAGAAGCUUGCUUUUCCUGCCGGCGAGUGGCGAACGGGUGAGUAAUACAUCGGAACGUGCCCUGUAGUGGGGGAUAACUAGUCGAAAGAUUAGCUAAUACCGCAUACGACCUGAGGGUGAAAGUGGGGGACCGCAAGGCCUCAUGCUAUAGGAGCGGCCGAUGUCUGAUUAGCUAGUUGGUGGGGUAAAGGCCUACCAAGGCGACGAUCAGUAGCUGGUCUGAGAGGACGAUCAGCCACACUGGGACUGAGACACGGCCCAGACUCCUACGGGAGGCAGCAGUGGGGAAUUUUGGACAAUGGGCGAAAGCCUGAUCCAGCAAUGCCGCGUGUGUGAAGAAGGCCUUCGGGUUGUAAAGCACUUUUGUCCGGAAAGAAAUGGCUCUGGUUAAUACCUGGGGUCGAUGACGGUACCGGAAGAAUAAGGACCGGCUAACUACGUGCCAGCAGCCGCCGCAG
rnacentral:rRNA from 1 species